rnacentral:rRNA from 1 species
UAAAUGACUCUCGGCAACGGAUAUCUCGGCUCUCGCAUCGAUGAAGAACGUAGCGAAAUGCGAUACUUGGUGUGAAUUGCAGAAUCCCGUGAACCAUCGAGUCUUUGAACGCAAGUUGCGCCCGAAGCCAUCUGGCCGAGGGCACGUCUGCCUGGGCGUCACGC